rnacentral:rRNA from 1 species
GAUGAACGCUAGCGGCAGGCCUAAUACAUGCAAGACGAACGGUAAGUUGAGUAGCAAUACUUAGCCAAGAGUGUCGUACGGGUGCGUAACACGUAUGCAACCUACCCUAUACAGGAGGAUAGCCUAGGGAAACCUGGAUUAACCCUUCAUAGUAUUAUUGGAUGGCAUCAUUUGAUAAUUAAAACUGAGGUGGUAUAGGAUGGGCAUGCGUCUGAUUAGUUAGUUGGCGGGGUAAUGGCCCACCAAGACGAUGAUCAGUAGGGGGUUCUGAGAGGAAGAUCCCCCACACUGGCACUGAGAUACGGGCCAGACUCCUACGGGAGGCAGCAGUAGGGAAUAUUGGUCAAUGGAUGCAAGUCUGAACCAGCCAUGCCGCGUGCAGGAAGAAGGCCUUCUGGGGUUGUAAACUGCUUUUGCCAGGGGAUAAAAUUUCCAUGCGUGGAAAACUGAAGGUACCUGGUGAAUAAGCCACGGCUAACUACGUGCCAGCAGCCGCGGUAA